rnacentral:rRNA from 2 species
GGGUUGUGAGGUUAAGCGACUAAGCGUACACGGUGGAUGCCCUGGCAGUCAGAGGCGAUGAAGGACGUGCUAAUCUGCGAUAAGCGCCGGUAAGGUGAUAUGAACCGUUAUAACCGGCGAUUUCCGAAUGGGGAAACCCAGUGUGACUCGUCACACUAUCAUUAACUGAAUCCAUAGGUUAAUGAGGCGAACCGGGGGAACUGAAACAUCUAAGUACCCCGAGGAAAAGAAAUCAACCGAGAUUCCCCCAGUAGCGGCGAGCGAACGGGGAGGAGCCCAGAGCCUGAAUCAGCAUGUGUGUUAGUGGAAGCGUCUGGAAAGGCGCGCGAUACAGGGUGACAGCCCCGUACACAAAAGCGCAUGUGCUGUGAGCUCGAUGAGUAGGGCGGGACACGUGGUAUCCUGUCUGAAUAUGGGGGGACCAUCCUCCAAGGCUAAAUACUCCUGACUGACCGAUAGUGAACCAGUACCGUGAGGGAAAGGCGAAAAGAACCCCGGCGAGGGGAGUGAAAAAGAACCUGAAACCGUGUACGUACAAGCAGUGGGAGCACCCUUUUGGGUGUGACUGCGUACCUUUUGUAUAAUGGGUCAGCGACUUAUAUUCUGUAGCAAGGUUAACCGAAUAGGGGAGCCGGAGGGAAACCGAGUCUUAAUUGGGCGUUAAGUUGCAGGGUAUAGACCCGAAACCCGGUGAUCUAGCCAUGGGCAGGUUGAAGGUUGGGUAACACUAACUGGAGGACCGAACCGACUAAUGUUGAAAAAUUAGCGGAUGACCUGUGGCU